rnacentral:rRNA from 1 species
AGUGAACGCUGGCGGUAGGCCUAACACAUGCAAGUCGAACGGCAGCACAGGAGAGCUUGCUCUCUGGGUGGCGAGUGGCGGACGGGUGAGGAAUACAUCGGAAUCUACUUUGUCGUGGGGGAUAACGUAGGGAAACUUACGCUAAUACCGCAUACGACCUACGGGUGAAAGCAGGGGAUCUUCGGACCUUGCGCGAUUGAAUGAGCCGAUGUCGGAUUAGCUAGUUGGCGGGGUAAAGGCCCACCAAGGCGACGAUCCGUAGCUGGUCUGAGAGGAUGAUCAGCCACACUGGAACUGAGACACGGUCCAGACUCCUACGGGAGGCAGCAGUGGGGAAUAUUGGACAAUGGGCGCAAGCCUGAUCCAGCCAUACCGCGUGGGUGAAGAAGGCCUUCGGGUUGUAAAGCCCUUUUGUUGGGAAAGAAAUCCAGCCGGCUAAUACCUGGUUGGGAUGACGGUACCCAAAGAAUAAGCACCGGCUAACUUCGUGCCAGCAGCCGCGGUAAUACGAAGGGUGCAAGCGUUACUCGGAAUUACUGGGCGUAAAGCGUGCGUAGGUGGUUAUUUAAGUCCGUUGUGAAAGCCCUGGGCUCAACCUGGGAACUGCAGUGGAUACUGGAUGACUAGAAUGUGGUAGAGGGUAGCGGAAUUCCUGGUGUAGCAGUGAAAUGCGUAGAGAUCAGGAGGAACAUCCAUGGCGAAGGCAGCUACCUGGACCAACAUUGACACUGAGGCACGAAAGCGUGGGGAGCAAACAGG